rnacentral:rRNA from 1 species
CCUACGGGAGACAGCAGUGAGGAAUAUUGGUCACUGGCCGGAAGGCUGAACCAGCCAAGUCGCGUGAAGGACGAAGGUGCCAAGCAUUGUAAACUUCUUUUGUCCAGGGACAAAAUCAGGCUCGUGUGCCUGACCGAGGGUACUUGAUGACAAAGCCUCGGCUAACUCCGUGCCGGCAGCCGCGGUAAUACGGAGGAUGCGAGCGUUAUCCGGAUUUAUUGGGUUUAAAGGGUGCUUAGGCGGGCGUUUAAGUCAGCGGUAAAAGCCCGGGGUGAAACCCCGUCGAGCCGUUGAAACUGGCUGGCGUGAGAUGUCGAGAGGUAUGCGGAAUGCGCAGUGUAGCGGGGAAAUGCUUAGAUAUUGCGAAGAACUCCGAUUGCGAAGGCAGCAUACCGGCGGCGAUCUGACGCUGAGGCACGAAAGCGUGGGUAUCGAACAGGAUUAGAUACCCUUGUAGUC